AGCGGGGUAGGAAGCUUGCUUUCUGCCGCCGGCGACCGGCGCACGGGUGAGUAACACGUAUGCAACCUGGCCGUGACAGAUGGAUAACCGGGAGAAAUCCCGCCUAAUACAACAUAAUGCCGGGAGGGGACAUCCCCUGCCGGCCAAAGGGGGCGACCCCGGUCAUGGAUGGGCAUGCGGCGCAUUAGGUAGUUGGUGGGGCAACGGCCCACCAAGCCGACGAUGCGUAGGGGUUCUGAGAGGAAGGUCCCCCACAUUGGAACUGAGACACGGUCCAAACUCCUACGGGAGGCAGCAGUGAGGAAUAUUGGUCAAUGGCCGGAAGGCUGAACCAGCCAAGUCGCGUGAGGGAAUAAGGCCCUACGGGUCGUAAACCUCUUUUGCCAGGGAGCAAUGCCGUCCACGUGUGGACGGAAGGAGAGUACCUGGAGAAAAAGCAUCGGCUAACUCC
rnacentral:rRNA from 1 species